rnacentral:rRNA from 1 species
AGAGUUUGAUCAUGGCUCAGAUUGAACGCUGGCGGCACGCUUAACACAUGCAAGUCGAAUGGCAGCACAGAUGUAGUAAUACAUUGGGUGGCGAAUGGCGGACGGGUGAGUAACGCGUAGGAAUCUGCCUAAAAGAGGGGGACAACCUGGGGAAACUCAGGCUAAUACCGCAUACACUCGAGAGAGGAAAGCUGGGGACCGCAAGGCCUAGCGCUUUUAGAGGAGCCUGCGUCUGAUUAGCUAGUUGGUGGGGUAAAGGCCUACCAAGGCGAUGAUCAGUAGCUGGUCUGAGAGGACGAUCAGCCACACUGGGACUGAGACACGGCCCAGACUCCUACGUGAGGCAGCAGUGGGGAAUAUUGGACAAUGGGGGCAACCCUGAUCCAGCGAUGCCGCGUGUGUGAAGAAGGCCUUCGGGUUGUAAAGCACUUUUGUUGGGGAAGAAGGGGUUAAGAUGAAUAAUCUUGAUCUUUGACGGUACCCAAAGAAUAAGCACCGGCUAACUCUGUGCCAGCAGCCGCGGUAAUACAGAGGGUGCAAGCGUUAAUCGGAAUUACUGGGCGUAAAGGGUGCGUAGGUGGUUUGUUAAGUUAGUGGUGAAAUCCCUGGGCUUAACCUAGGGCUGGCUAUUAAAACUGGCAAGCUGGAGUAGAGUAGAGGGUAGUAGAAUUCCCGGUGUAGCAGUGAAAUGCGUAGAUAUCGGGAGGAAUACCAGUGGCAAAGGCGGCUACCUGGACCCAUACUGACACUGAGGCACGAAAGCGUGGGGAGCAAACAGGAUUAGAUACCCUGGUAGUCCACGCUGUAAACGAUGAAAACUAGAUGUUAGGCUCCUUGAGGGCUUAGUAUUGAAGCUAACGCGAUAAGUUUUCCGCCUGGGGAGUACGGCCGCAAGGCUAAAACUCAAAGGAAUUGACGGGGGCCCGCACAAGCGGUGGAGCAUGUGGUUUAAUUCGAUGCAACGCGGAGAACCUUACCUGGCCUUGACAUCUAGGGAAUCCUGUAGAGAUACGGGAGUGCCGAAAGGAACCCUAAGACAGGUGCUGCAUGGCUGCCGUCAGCUCGUGUUGUGAGAUGUUGGGCUAAGUCCCGUAACGAGCGCAACCCCUAUCCUUAGUUGCCAUCAUUUAGUUGGGCACUCUAAGGAGACUGCAGGUGAUAAACCUGAGGAAGGCGGGGAUGACGUCAAGUCCUCAUGGCCCUUAUGGCCAGGGCUACACACGUGCUACAAUGGGCGGUACAGAGGGUUGCCAACCUGUAAAGGGGAGCUAAUCUCAGAAAACCGUUCUCAGUCCGGAUUGAAGUCUGCAACUCGACUUCAUGAAGCUGGAAUCGCUAGUAAUCGCGAAUCAGAAUGUCGCGGUGGAUACGUUCCCGGGCCUUGUACACACCGCCCGUCACACCAUGGGAGCUGAUUGCGCCAGAAGUAGGUAUCUCCAACCCGUAAGGGAAGAGGCCUACCACGGCAUGAUUAGUGACUGGGGUGAAGUCGUAACAAGGUA